AUUGAACGCUGGCGGCAGGCCUAACACACGCAAGUCGAACGGUAACAGGAAACAGCUUGCUGUUUCGCUGACGAGUGGCGGACGGGUGAGUAAUGUCUGGGAAACUGCCUGAUGGAGGGGGAUAACUACUGGAAACGGUAGCUAAUACCGCAUAACGUCGCAAGACCAAAGAGGGGGACCCUCGGGCCUCUUGCCAUCGGAUGUGCCCAGAUGGGAUUAGCUUGUUGGUGGGGUAACGGCUCACCAAGGCGACGAUCCCUAGCUGGUCUGAGAGGAUGACCAGCCACACUGGAACUGAGACACGGUCCAGACUCCUACGGGAGGCAGCAGUGGGGAAUAUUGCACAAUGGGCGCAAGCCUGAUGCAGCCAUGCCGCGUGUAUGAAGAAGGCCUUCGGGUUGUAAAGUACUUUCAGCGGGGAGGAAGGGAGUAAAGUUAAUACCUUUGCUAAUUGACGUUACCCGCAGAAGAAGCACCGGGUAACUCCGUG
rnacentral:rRNA from 1 species